CCUACGGGAGGCAGCAGUAGGGAAUAUUGCUCAAUGGGGGAAACCCUGAAGCAGCAACGCUGCGUGGAGGAUGAAGGUUUUCGGAUUGUAAACUCCUUUUGUUAGAGAAGAUAAUGACGGUAUCUAACGAAUAAGCAACGGAUAACUCCGUGCCAGCAGCCGCGGUAAUACGGAGGGUGCAAGCGUUACUCGGAAUCACUGGGCGUAAAGAGCGCGGAGGCGGUAUAGCAAGUCAGAUGUGAAAUCCUAUGGCUUAACCAUAGAACUGCAUUGGAAACUGUUAUUCUAGAGUAUGGUAGAGGGAGGUGGAAUUCUUGGUGUAGGGGUAAAAUGCGUAGAGAUCAAGAGGAAUACUCAUUGCGAAGGCGACCUGCUAGACCAUAACUGACGCUGAUGUGCGAAAGCGUGGGGAGCAAACAGGAUUAGAUACCCGAGUAGUC
rnacentral:rRNA from 1 species